GGCGAGAUAGCUCAGUUGGUUAGAGCGCAUGAUUCAUAAUCAUGAGGUCCCGGGAUCAUACCCCGGUCUCGCUACAA
rnacentral:tRNA from 2 species